GAGAGUGGCGCACGGGUGCGUAACGCCGUGAGCAACCUACCUCUAUCAGGGGGAUAGCCUCUCGAAAGAGAGAUUAACACCGCAUAAUAUCAACAGUUCGCAUGUUCGGUUGAUUAAAUAUUUAUAGGAUAGAGAUGGGCUCGCGUGACAUUAGCUAGUUGGUAGGGUAACGGCCUACCAAGGCGACGAUGUCUAGGGGCUCUGAGAGGAGAAUCCCCCACACUGGUACUGAGACACGGACCAGACUCAUACGGGAGGCAGCAGUAAGGAAUAUUGGUCAAUGGGCGGAAGCCUGAACCAGCCAUGCCGCGUGCAGGAUGACUUGCCUAUGGGUUGUAAACUGCUUUUGUCCAGGAAUAAACCUUAAAUACGUGUAUUUAGCUGAAUGUACUGGAAGAAUAAGGAUCG
rnacentral:rRNA from 1 species